GCGGACGAGUGCACAAAGCUUCAUAGAUGGGUGUAGUAGUUUUACCAAAUGUUGGAUUUUUAAUAAUGUGAAUUAUAUAUUAUGUACGAUGCAGUUUUGAAUAAUGUGAAUUAUUUAUUAUUCAAGUUUGUUGUUAUGUGGUUGGAGAUACAUAUUUCAAUUUGACGGCUAAAACUGGUGAGAAAUAAAAAUUAUAAAUAACUCAUAGGAAAUAAUAUAUUAAAUGGAAAAAUACAUAUUCUUG
rnacentral:lncRNA from 1 species